rnacentral:rRNA from 1 species
CCUACGGGAGGCAGCAGUGAGGAAUAUUGGUCAAUGGACGAGAGUCUGAACCAGCCAAGUAGCGUGAAGGAUGACUGCCCUAUGGGUUGUAAACUUCUUUUAUAAAGGAAUAAAACGAGGCACGUGUGCCUUUUUGCAUGUACUUUAUGAAUAAGGAUCGGCUAACUCCGUGCCAGCAGCCGCGGUAAUACGGAGGAUUCGAGCGUUAUCCGGAUUUAUUGGGUUUAAAGGGAGCGUAGAUGGGUUGUUAAGUCAGUUGUGAAAAUUUGCGGCUCAACCGUAAAACUGCAAUUGAUACUGUUCGUCUUGAGUGCAGUUGAGGUAGGCGGAAUGCGUGGUGUAGCGGUGAAAUGCUUAGAUAUUACGCAGAACCCCGAUUGCGAAGGCAGCUUACUAAUCCGUGACUGACAUUGAUGCUCGAAAGUGUGGGUAUCAAACAGGAUUAGAUACCCGGGUAGUC